UGUUAAACAACGUUGCUAUAUGUCAAGGUGGUUCGGUGCAGCCGGUGCAGAUAUGUAUUCAGGUUCAACCGCAUAGGCUAGAUAGAUAUUCUGUGUAACAAUAUUCUCUCUAGUUUAUCCCUUGUACUCCAAGUAGCUUAUCCCUUGUAUCUCAAGUUUCAAUCCCAACAAACUUGUACGCUAUCAGGGAGUCGCGCCCCUGCCUUUAUAACAUGCAGCCGUCGCCCUGAACCGGGUACGACGUUUCCACAUGGUAAUCAGAGCCUAACUCUUCCAUCACAUCUAGGUUUCUUCUCCUCCGCCGAACCCCCUGCCAUGGCUUCCUCCAGCGCCUCCAACCCUACCCUCUCUGGCCAAGUCACCGAGCGCCUCACCUGCACCAACUACAUCCUAUGGCGCACCCAGAUCACGCCACAACUUCGCGGUGCUGGUUUCUUCGGGUACGUGGACGGGAGCAUGCCAGAGCCAGCCAAGGCCGUCGUCUCCAAGGACAAGGAUGGCAAGGAGGAGACCAUCCCGAAUCCUCUACAUCAACUUUGGAUCAGGGAAGACCAGCAGGUACUGGGUUAUCUUCUGAAUAAUCUGUCCAAAGAAGUGCUCGUACAGGUGAUCGCGAUCACCCACGCACAAGAGCUGUGGGCGGCGUUGGCGAAGAUGUUCUCGUCAACCUCUAUGUCCCGCGUCAACAACAUCCGCGCCGCCCUCACGAACGCACAGAAGGGGACGCAAUCGGUGGCCACGUACUUCGCCAACAUGCGCACCCUCGCCGACGAGCUUGCAGCGGCGGGGCGGCCACUUCAGGAUGACGAGCUGAUCUCUUGCAUCCUCAACGGCCUCGACAUGGACUACCAGCCAUUGGUCUUUGCCCUUGACGCCCGCACCAUCCCGGUCACCCUUGAUGAAUUGUUUGCUCAGAUGAGUAACUUUGAUCAAAGGGUGGCUUUGCACCAAGGGGCUGGGACCGGCGACGGCUUCAAGUCUUCGGCGAACAUCGCCACACGCGGCCGCGUCGGCGGCUCCCUCUACCACGGGCCUCCUCGCAACAAGGGCAAGAGCUCCGGAGGGGGCAACAGCAGCGGCCAGAACAGCAACAACGCUCGCGGCGGUAGCCGGCCCUUCUCCACCAACAAUAGGGACCGGCGCACCAGUUCCUCCAACGGCAAUAGAUCAUGCCCGGACGCUGUUCGGUGCCAAAUCUGUGGCAAGCUGGGACACUCAGCCAAAGAUUGCUGGUACCGGUUUGAAGAUGAUGAUGAUGCAUCAUCUCAAGAUGAAAAGGUGGCCGGGGCAGCUGAAGCCUCAUAUGGUGUUGACACGAAUCGGUAUGUCGACAGUGGAGCCACGAACCACAUCACCGGUGAGCUGGAAAAAGUGACCAUGCGUGAGAAAUACCGCGGCCAAGAUCACAUCCACACUGCUAGUGGAGAAGGUAUGAAGAUUGGUCAUAUUGGUCAUUCUGUUAUUAAAACCCCUCAUAGAAAAAUUCAUCUCAGAAAUUUUUUGCAUGUUCCUAGUGCUUCCAAAAGUCUUCUUUCUGUUCAUCGCAUUGCCAUUGAUAAUCAUGUCUUUCUUGAAUUUCACCCCUUGUUCUUUUUGAUCAAGGAUCAGGCCACGAGGAGGGUGCUAUAUCGAGGUAGAUGUGUUCGAGGGCUUUACCCAUUGAUUCCAGAGAUAAGAAGACUCAAUAAACAAGUUUUUAGUGAAGGAAAUAUGCCCUAGAGGCAAUAAUAAAGUUAUUAUUUAUUUCCUUAUAUCAUGAUAAAUGUUUAUUAUUCAUGCUAGAAUUGUAUUAACCGGAAACAUAAUACAUGUGUGAAUAUAUAGACAAACAGAGUAUCACUAGUAUGCCUCUACUUGACUAGCUUGUUAAUCAAAGAUGGUUAUGUUUCCUAACCAUGAACAAGGAGUUGUUAUUUGAUUAACGAGGUCACAUCAUUAGUUGAAUGAUCUGAUUGACAUGACCCAUUCCGUUAGCUUAGCACCCGAUCGUUUAGUAUGUUACUAUUGCUUUCUUCAUGACUUAUACAUGUUCCUAUGACUAUGAGAUUAUGCAACUCCCGUUUACCGGAGGAACACUUUGUGUGCUACCAAACGUCACAACGUAACUGGGUGAUUAUAAAGGUGCUCUACAGGUGUCACCGAAGGUACUUGUUGGGUUGGCGUAUUUCGAGAUUAGGAUUUGUCACUCCGAAUGUCGGAGAGGUAUCUCUGGGCCCUCUCGGUAAUGCACAUCACUUAAGCCUUGCAAGCAUUGCAACUAAUGAGUUAGUUGCGAGAUGAUGUAUUACGGAACGAGUAAAGAGACUUGCCGGUAACGAGAUUGAACUAGGUAUUGGAUACCAACGAUCGAAUCUCGGGCAAGUAACAUACCGAUGACAAAGGGAACAACGUAUGUUGUUAUGCGGUCUGACCGAUAAAGAUCUUCGUAGAAUAUGUAGGAACCAAUAUGGGCAUCCAGGUCCCGCUAUUGGUUAUUGACCGGAGACGUGUCUCGGUCAUGUCUACAUUGUUCUCGAACCGUAGGGUCCGCACGCUUAAGGUUUCGAUGACAGUUAUAUUAUGAGUUUAUGUAUUUUGAUGUACCGAAGGUUGUUCGGAGCCCCGGAUGUGAUCACGGACAUGACGAGAAGUCUCGAAAUGGCCGAGACAUAAAGAUUGAUAUAUUGGACGGAUAUAUUUGGACACCGGAAAGGUUCCGGAUGAGAUUGGGACUAUACCGGAGUUCCGGGAGGUUACCAGAACCCCUCGGUAGGUAUAUGGGCCUUAUUGGGCCUUAGUGGAAAGGAGGGAGAAGGAGCAAAGGAGGGGGCGCCCCCCCCCUUUCCUUCUUCCCUCCCCUCUCUUCCUUCCCUCUCGUACUCCUAAUAGGAAAAGGGGGGCCAAACCUACUUGGAGUAGGUUUGCCCCCCCUAGGGCGCGCCUCCCCUCUUGGCCGGCCCCCUCCUCCUCUCCCCCUUUAUAUACGGAGGGGGGGGCACCCCAUAGACACAUAAAUUGAUCUUCGUGAUCGUUCCUUAGCCGUGUGUGGUGCCCCCUCCACGAUAUUACACCUCGGUCAUAUUGUAGCGGUGCUUAGGCGAAGCCUUGCGACAGUUGAACAUCAAGAUCGUCACCACGCCGUCGUGCUGACAGAACUCCUCCACAAGGCUUUGCUGGAUCGAAGCCCGGGGUGCGUCAUCGAGCUGUACGUGUGUCAAGAACUCGGAGGUGCCGGAGUAACGGUGCUUGGAUCGGUUGGACCGGGAAGACGUACGACUACUUCCUCUACGUUGUGUCAAUGCUUCCGCUUCGGUCUACGAGGGUACGUAGACAACACUCUCCCCUCUCGUUGCUAUAUCAUCACCAUGAUCUUGCGUGUGCGUAGGAAUUUUUUUUGAAAUUACUACGUUCCCCAACAUUUAGUGCCACCAAAAUCUCAUCCAGACGGUGGCAUGAUCGAUUAGGACAUGCAUCUUUUUCUUUAGUUGAACGUUUGCUUAGGAAAAAUAAGCUCCCAUAUGUUGGAGAGCGUAAUGUUGAAACAAUUUGUGAUUCCUGUCAAAGAGCUAAAAGUCAUCAGUUGCCUUAUCCUAUUUCCACAAGUAUUUCUACCAAACCUUUGCAGCUUAUCUUUUCUGAUGUGUGGGGACUAGCUCCCUCCUCUGUUGGUAGACAUACGUAUUAUGUGAGUUUCAUUGACGACUAUAGUAAAUUUACCUGGAUCUAUCUUCUCAAGAAAAGAUUCGAUGUAUGCUAAGUUUUUCUUAAUUUCCAAGCUUUAGUUGAAAGAAAAUUUGACACCAAAAUCAUCGCCAUCCAAUCUGAUUGGGGUGGCGAAUACGAGAAGCUCAACUCCUUUUUCCAAAAACUUGGCAUUUCUCACCAUGUGUCGUGUCCACAUGCCCAUCAACAGAAUGGGUCUGCUGAACGCAAACACAGACACAUUGUCGAAGUUGGCUUUGCCCUUCUUGCUGGCGCCUCUAUGCCCUUAAAAUUUUGGUAUGAGGCCUUUCUCACAGCUGUCCAUAUCAUUAAUAUGCUACCUAGUCGUGUUAUCAACAAUGAAACUCCCAUUGAAAGGCUUCUCCACACCAAACCAGAUUACACUUCUCUCCAUGUGUUUGGAUGCGCCUGUUGGCCCAAUCUUUGCCCUUACAACAAUCGAAAACUCAGCUUUAGGUCAAAACAAUGUGUGUUCAUUGGCUACAGUGCACAACACAAAGGCGUCAAGUGCCUUGAUGUUUCAACCGGACGCGUCUAUAUUUCACGAGAUGUCGUUUUUGAUGAAACAAAGUUUCCCUUUGCCACCCUUCAUCCCAAUGCCGGUGCCCUACUUCGUCAAGAAAUUCUUCUCUUACCACCUAGUCUCACCGGUCAAGGGGUAAAUAACUGCAAUGAUCAUAUGAUGACUAAUCCUCAUAACCGUGCACUUGAGCUUUGUGAUGAUGCAGAUGGCAAUGGUGCAGAAAAUGGUGAAGGAAUCACAGAGAAUGGUGAAGAAAUUACCCCAAACAGUCCACAUUUUAUGUGUCACACAGCGGGGAACAGAUCCUCUUUGGGAUUGGAGCUCCAGCAGCAUGGCAGCAAAUCUGCCUCGGGAUCCGUGUCGCAGCAGGGCGCCAGCGCACCAGAUUCUGCGUCGCCCGCCAGGCGUGGCGACAGCGACCCAGCGGCGGCCACACGGCUCGCCUUGACUGGGCCAGAAGCGGCGUCCGACCUGCACCAAUCUCUGGAGCCCACGCGGCAGGAGCCUCCGGCCCGCUGGCCCGCGGGCGGACCCCGCCACUACAUGCGCCGCCAGCUGGGCGCGCGAUCCGGCGUGGAUUCGCCCCAGCCGACGACAGGCGUGUGAUCCGAGGCGGAUCCGGUCAGGCCCGUGUCCUCCACGCGGCCUGGAUCUUCUGCGCCUCCCGUCACGGCUCCAGGAUCGCCCGUCGCCACAGAAGAUCCCGCUGCUACAACUGCUGGCGCGGCUGGUGCGUUGGGAGCCCCAGGGGGAUCUGCAUCGGGAUUGUCUGGUCCAGAGGCUGGAUCCUCUCCGCCCGCUGAUGCUGCCACCUCUUCUGCUCAACCUCGUACAAGACUACAGAAGGGAGUUAUUCAACCCGUCAAUUAUAAACAAAUAACUAAGUUCGGUUUAGCGUGUACUACAGGUGAACCUGGUACGCUUGAUGAAGCCCUCAGGGAUACACGCUGGAAAAAGGCCAUGGAAGAGGAGUACAUGGCACUUCAGAAGAAUAAGACGUGGCAUCUUGUGUCUCCACGAUGAGGUAAAAAUUUGAUUGAUUGUAAAUGGGUUUAUAGGAUCAAAAGAAAGUCCGAUGAAACCAUAGACCGCUACAAAGCCAGACUUGUUGCAAAAGGCUUCAAACAGCGGUAUGGCAUAGACUAUGAGGACACUUUUAGUCCAGUGGUCAAAGCUGCUACUAUUCGCCUUGUACUGUCUAUUGCUGUUUCCAGGGGAUGGAGUCUCAGACAACUAGAUGUGCAGAACGUGUUUCUUCAUGGUGUUCUGGAAGAGGAAGUAUAUAUGAAACAACCUCCUGGUUUUGAGGACAAGGAUAAACCCUUUCAUGUGUGCAAGCUUGACAAAGCUCUACAUGGACUGAAGCAAGCUCCCAGGGCAUGGUAUUCUCGUCUCAGUCAGAAACUACAAGCACUUGGUUUUGUUCCUUCAAAAUCUGAUACGUCUCUAUUCAUCUACAAUAAGUGCAAAACAUCUAUUUUUGUUCUUAUCUAUGUUGAUGAUAUUAUUGUCACAAGUUCAUCUAAUGAAGCUGUGACAGGAUUAUUGAAGGAUCUAAGUGCUGAGUUUGCUCUUAAAGAUCUGGGAGACUUACACUUUUUCCUAGGGAUUGAAGUAAAGAAAACUGAGGAUGGCCUUCAUCUCUCUCAAGAAAAGUAUGCUACUGAUCUGGUAAGGAGAGUUGGCUUGCAAGGAUGUAAAGCCUCCCCAACUCCUUUGUCUAGCACAGAAAAAUUGUCACUUGAAGAGGGAGAUCCCUUGGGUCAAGAAGACAACACUAGAUAUAGAAGUCUAGUAGGAGCACUUCAGUACCUCACCUUAACAAGGCCAGAUAUAUCCUUUGCAGUCAACAAAGUGUGCCAAUUUCUUCAUGCACCCACUACUGUUCAUUGGACUGCUGCCAAGCGCAUAGUGAGAUAUGUGAAAAAUACUAUGAGUCUUGGUCUUACAUUCACCAAAUCUUCAUCAACUCUUGUCAGUGCUUUUUCUGACUCUGAUUGGGCAGGAUGCAUAGAUGACAGACGCUCCACUGGUGGAUUUGCAGUUUUCUUUGGGCCAAAUCUCAUAUCAUGGUGUGCAAAGAAACAGGCCACUGUAUCACGAUCUAGCACUGAAGCUGAGUAUAAGGCUUUAGCAAAUGCUACUGCUGAAAUUAUCUGGGUUCAAUCCAUGUUGAGAGAGCUGGGUGUGAAGCGCACCAAAACUCCAUGUUUAUGGUGUGACAAUCUGGGUGCUACUUAUCUGUCUGCUAACCCAGUCUUUCAUGCCAGGACAAAACACAUCGAGAUAGAUUUUCAUUUUGUCAGAGAAAGGGUUGCAAAGAGACAAUUGGAUAUUCGCUUUGUGCAUUCACGAGAUCAGGUUGCAGACGGCUUCACAAAAGCGUUGCCUACAAAAAGUUUUGAAGAGUUCAAGCGUAAUCUCAACUUGACCAAGUUGUGAUUAAGGGAGGGUGUUAAACAACGUUGUUAUAUGUCAAGGUGGUUCGGUGCAACCGGUGCAGAUAUGUAUUCAGGUUCAACCGCAUAGGCUAGAUAGAUAUUCUCUGUAACAAUAUUCUCUCUAGUUUAUCCCUUGUACUCUAAGUAGCUUAUCCCUUGUAUCUCAAGUUUCAAUCCCAACAAACUUGUACGCUAUCAGGGAGUCGCGCCCCUGCCUUUAUAACACCCAGCCGUCGCCCUGAACCGGGUACGACGUUUCCACAAUCACACCAUCUCAUGGGAAAUAGGUCAUCUCAACAAUAUACCCAUCCCUUAUCCUUCAAACCAAACACCAAUUUGGCUAUCUUCAACCACUUGAUAUCCCUCCCGCCAAACAGAGAUACCCACAACCACUCAAACAUAUCCCCCAAACCAAACACAACCAUAUUGUAGAAAGC
rnacentral:lncRNA from 1 species